AAAAACAUGUCUUUUUAGUUAUUUAAUAUAAAGUCUGACCUGCCCACUGAAUUUAAUUUUGAAGGGCCGCAGUAUUUUGACUGUGCAAAGGUAGCAUAAUCAUUAGUCUUUUAAUUGAAGGCUGGUAUGAAUGGUUGGAUGAGGUACAAGCUGUGUCAUAAAAAUUAAUAUUUGAAUUUAACUUUUUAGUCAAAAGGCUAAAAUUUAAUUAAAAGACGAGAAGACCCUAUAGAGCUUUAUAUAAUGAUUAUUUAAUUUAUUAAGAUUUAUUAAAUUUAAUUAUUUUAUUAUAUUUUGUUGGGGUGACAAUAAAAUUUAAAAAACUUUUAUUAUUAUUUUACAUUUAUUUAUGACUUUAUGAUCCAGUUUUAUUGAUUAUAAAUUUAAGUUACCUUAGGGAUAACAGCGUAAUUUUUUUUGAGAGUUCAUAUCGACAAAAAAGAUUGCGACCUCGAUGUUGGAUUAAGAGUAACUUUGGGUGUAGAA
rnacentral:rRNA from 1 species